GAUGAACGCUGGCGGCGUGCCUAAUACAUGCAAGUCGAGCGAACGGACGAUAAGCUUGCUUCCUUGAUGUUAGCGGCGGGCGGGUGAGUAACACGUGGAUAACCUACCUAUAAGACUGGGAUAACUUCGGGAAACCGGAGCUACUACCAGCUGAUAUUUUGAACGGCAUGGAUCAAAAGUGAAAGACGGUCUUGCUGUCACUUAUAGAUGGAUCCGCGCUGCAUUAGCUAGUUGGUAAGGUAACAGCUUACCAAGGCGACGAUGCAUAGCCGAUCUGAGAGGAUGAUCAGCCACACUGGAACUGAGACACGGUCCAGACUCCUACGGGAGGCAGCAGUAGGGAAUAUUGCGCAAUGGGCGAAAGCCUGACGGAGCCACGCCGCGUGAGUGAUGAAGGUCUUCGGAUUGUAAAACUCUUUUAUUAGGGAAGAAAAGAUGUGUAAGAAUAUGUGGCCAUCUUGACGGUACCCAAACAGAAAGCAACGGCUAACUACGUG
rnacentral:rRNA from 1 species